rnacentral:rRNA from 1 species
UACGAAGGGUGCAAACGUUGCUCGGAAUCAUUGGGCGUAAAGCGCACGUAGGCGGCUUGCCAAGUCGGACGUGAAAUCCCUCAGCUCAACUGAGGACGUGCACCCGAAACUGGCGAGCUUGAGUACUGAAGAGGAUCGCGGAAUUCCCGGUGUAGAGGUGAAAUUCGUAGAUAUUGGGAAGAACACCGGUGGCGAAGGCGGCGACCUGGUCCAUUACUGACGCUGAGGCGCGACAGCGUGGGGAGCAAACAGG